rnacentral:rRNA from 1 species
GUUUACGGCCAUGUCACCUUGAACAAGCCCGAUGUCUGAUCUUGGAAGCUAAGUGGGGUGGGGCCUGGGUAGUACUUGGCUGGGAGACCACCUAGGAAGACUAGGUGCUGAAGGCA